rnacentral:rRNA from 1 species
ACUCCUACGGGAGGCAGCAGUGGGGAAUCUUAGACAAUGGGCGCAAGCCUGAUCUAGCGAUGCCGCGUGAGUGACGAAGGCCUUAGGGUCGUAAAGCUCUUUCGCCAGGGAUGAUAAUGACAGUACCUGGUAAAGAAGCCCGGCUAACUCC